rnacentral:lncRNA from 1 species
GCCUCCAUGGAGGUACCUGCCAGGACCAGGAUUCUGGCAAGGGUUUCACCUGCAGCUGUACUGCAGGCAGGGGUGGCUCUGUCUGUGAGAAAGGUGAGGUCACCCAUUGCUAGAGGGUUUGGGGUUAUGGCCAGAGGGUAUAGCAGGGUCGUAGGUUUAACUCUGUCUGUCUUCUGCAGUACAACCCCCCUCCAUGCCAGCUUUUAAGGGCCACUCCUUCUUGGCCUUCCCCACCCUCCGAGCCUACCACACACUGCGCCUAGCACUGGAAUUCCGGGCUUUGGAGACAGAGGGACUGCUACUCUACAAUGGCAAUGCACGUGGCAAAGAUUUCCUGGCUCUGGCUCUGUUGGAUGGGCGUGUGCAGUUCAGGUUUGACACAGGCUCAGGGCCAGCAGUGCUAACGAGCUUAGUGCCAGUGGAACCAGGAC